ACACCGUUGGUGAAGUGGUUAUCAUGCUUGCCUUCCAUAUGAAAUGUUCGACUUGUGACAUAUGCAGCAAGCGGCUCGGGUUCGAUUCCCGAACGGUGUA